UACGGAGGGUGCGAGCGUUAUCCGGAUUUAUCGGGUUUAAAGGGUCCGUAGGCGGGCCCGUAAGUCAGUGGUGAAAUCUCGCAGCUUAACUGCGAAACUGCCACUGAUACUGCGGGCCUUGAGUGGAUUUGAAGUGGCUGGAAUAAGUAGUGUAGCGGUGAAAUGCAUAGAUAUUACUUAGAACACCGAUUGCGAAGGCAGGUCACUAAGGUCCAACUGACGCUGAGGGACGAAAGCGUGGGUAGCGAAC
rnacentral:rRNA from 1 species